rnacentral:rRNA from 1 species
CACUACAGCCAUGCCACCCUGAACAAGCCCGAUCCCGUCUGAUCUCGGAAGGUAAGCAGGAUCAGGCCUGAUUAGUACUUGGAUGGGAGACCACCUAGGAAGACCAGGUGCUGUAGGUG